rnacentral:rRNA from 1 species
GAUGAACGCUAGCGGCAGGCUUAAUACAUGCAAGUCGAGGGGCAGCGCAGUGUAGCAAUACAUGGGCGGCGACCGGCAAACGGGUGCGGAACACGUACGCAACCUUCCUUUAAGUGGGGGAUAGCCCAGGGAAACUUGGAUUAAUACCCCGUAAUAUUAUGAAGUGGCAUCACUUUAUACUUAUAGCUCCGGCGCUUAAAGAUGGGCGUGCGACUGAUUAGGUGGUUGGCGGGGUAACGGCCCACCAAGCCUGCGAUCAGUAACUGGUGUGAGAGCACGACCAGUCACACGGGCACUGAGACACGGGCCCGACUCCUACGGGAGGCAGCAGUAAGGAAUAUUGGUCAAUGGACGCAAGUCUGAACCAGCCAUGCCGCGUGGAGGAUGAAGGUCCUCUGGAUUGUAAACUUCUUUUAUUUGGGAAGAAACCCACUGUUUCUACGGUGGUUGACGGUACCAGAUGAAUAAGCACCGGCUAACUCCGUGCCAGCAGCCGCCGCGG